UACCUAGGGAUUUACCCACAGAUGAGGGUCCUUCAACCUCAGCACACAAUCUAAGCAGGUUGCCAGCAAAGGAGCUGUAUAAGGUCCAUCUUCAAAAACAAAUAAGAAAAAGUGACAUGGAGAUGGACCUUAUACAGCUUCAAAUGGAAGAGAAAAGGCUCCUCAUUAAAAAAGCAGCACUUGAAAUUGAAUUACUGGAGCAUCGCCUUAAGGUGUUCCUCUGGGCCAUCUUCCUCAAUACAAGGAGGGUGGCUCUCUCCUCUUAUAGUGGCAAUAUUGUGAAGCACAACACAAGCCACUAUAAUGUCGCAUGCCAUCUCUGGACUAACCCGGAGCCCACGCAGACACUGAAAC